rnacentral:rRNA from 1 species
GACGAACGCUGGCGGCGUGCUUAACACAUGCAAGUCGAACGGUAAGGCCCUUCGGGGUACACGAGUGGCGAACGGGUGAGUAACACGUGGGUGAUCUGCCCUGCACUUCGGGAUAAGCCUGGGAAACUGGGUCUAAUACCGGAUAGGACCACUGCCUGCAUGGGUGGUGGUGGAAAGCUUUUGCGGUGUGGGAUAGGCCCGCGGCCUAUCAGCUUGUUGGUGGGGUGAUGGCCUACCAAGGCGACGACGGGUAGCCGGCCUGAGAGGGUAACCGGCCACACUGGGACUGAGAUACGGCCCAGACUCCUACGGGAGGCAGCAGUGGGGAAUAUUGCACAAUGGGCGCAAGCCUGAUGCAGCGACGCCGCGUGAGGGAUGACGGCCUUCGGGUUGUAAACCUCUUUCAGCACCGACGAAGCGCAAGUGACGGUAGGUGCAGAAGAAGGACCGGCCAACUACGUGCCAGCAGCCGCAGUAA